rnacentral:rRNA from 2 species
AUUAGAGUUUGAUCCUGGCUCAGAUUGAACGCUGGCGGCAGGCCUAACACAUGCAAGUCGAACGGUAGCACAGAGAGCUUGCUCUCGGGUGACGAGUGGCGGACGGGUGAGUAAUGUCUGGGAAACUGCCUGAUGGAGGGGGAUAACUACUGGAAACGGUAGCUAAUACCGCAUAACGUCGCAAGACCAAAGAGGGGGACCUUCGGGCCUCUUGCCAUCAGAUGUGCCCAGAUGGGAUUAGCUAGUAGGUGGGGUAACGGCUCACCUAGGCGACGAUCCCUAGCUGGUCUGAGAGGAUGACCAGCCACACUGGAACUGAGACACGGUCCAGACUCCUACGGGAGGCAGCAGUGGGGAAUAUUGCACAAUGGGCGCAAGCCUGAUGCAGCCAUGCCGCGUGUAUGAAGAAGGCCUUCGGGUUGUAAAGUACUUUCAGCGGGGAGGAAGGUGUUGUGGUUAAUAACCGCAGCAAUUGACGUUACCCGCAGAAGAAGCACCGGCUAACUCCGUGCCAGCAGCCGCGGUAAUACGGAGGGUGCAAGCGUUAAUCGGAAUUACUGGGCGUAAGGCGCACGCAGGCGGUCUGUCAAGUCGGAUGUGAAAUCCCCGGGCUCAACCUGGGAACUGCAUUCGAAACUGGCAGGCUAGAGUCUUGUAGAGGGGGGUAGAAUUCCAGGUGUAGCGGUGAAAUGCGUAGAGAUCUGGAGGAAUACCGGUGGCGAAGGCGGCCCCCCUGGACAAAGACUGACGCUCAGGUGCGAAAGCGUGGGGAGCAAACAGGAUUAGAUACCCUGGUAGUCCACGCCGUAAACGAUGUCGACUUGGAGGUUGUGCCCUUGAGGCGUGGCUUCCGGAGCUAACGCGUUAAGUCGACCGCCUGGGGAGUACGGCCGCAAGGUUAAAACUCAAAUGAAUUGACGGGGGCCCGCACAAGCGGUGGAGCAUGUGGUUUAAUUCGAUGCAACGCGAAGAACCUUACCUACUCUUGACAUCCAGAGAACUUUCCAGAGAUGGAUUGGUGCCUUCGGGAACUCUGAGACAGGUGCUGCAUGGCUGUCGUCAGCUCGUGUUGUGAAAUGUUGGGUUAAGUCCCGCAACGAGCGCAACCCUUAUCCUUUGUUGCCAGCGGUCCGGCCGGGAACUCAAAGGAGACUGCCAGUGAUAAACUGGAGGAAGGUGGGGAUGACGUCAAGUCAUCAUGGCCCUUACGAGUAGGGCUACACACGUGCUACAAUGGUGCAUACAAAGAGAAGCGACCUCGCGAGAGCAAGCGGACCUCAUAAAGUGCGUCGUAGUCCGGAUUGGAGUCUGCAACUCGACUCCAUGAAGUCGGAAUCGCUAGUAAUCGUAGAUCAGAAUGCUACGGUGAAUACGUUCCCGGGCCUUGUACACACCGCCCGUCACACCAUGGGAGUGGGUUGCAAAAGAAGUAGGUAGCUUAACCUUCGGGAGGGCGCUUACCACUUUGUGAUUCAUGACUGGGGUGAAGUCGUAACAAGGUAGCCGUAAAUC